GUCUUAGCGGCGGACGGGUGAGUAACGCGUGGGAACGUGCCCUUCUCUACGGAAUAGUCCCGGGAAACUGGGUUUAAUACCGUAUACGCCCUUCGGGGGAAAGAUUUAUCGGAGAAGGAUCGGCCCGCGUUAGAUUAGGUAGUUGGUGGGGUAACGGCCUACCAAGCCUACGAUCUAUAGCUGGUUUGAGAGGAUGAUCAGCCACACUGGGACUGAGACACGGCCCAGACUCCUACGGGAGGCAGCAGUGGGGAAUCUUAGACAAUGGGGGAAACCCUGAUCUAGCCAUGCCGCGUGAGUGACGAAGGCCCUAGGGUCGUAAAGCUCUUUCGCUGGGGAAGAUAAUGACUGUACCCAGUAAAGAAACCCCGGCUAACUCCGUGCCAGCAGCCGCGGUAAUACGGAGGGGGUUAGCGUUGUUCGGAAUUACUGGGCGUAAAGCGCGCGUAGGCGGACUAUUAAGUCAGGGGUGAAAUCCCGGGGCUCAACCCCGGAACUGCCUUUGAUACUGGUAGUCUAGAGUUCGAGAGAGGUGAGUGGAACUCCGAGUGUAGAGGUGAAAUUCGUAGAUAUUCGGAAGAACACCAGUGGCGAAGGCGGCUCACUGGCUCGAUACUGACGCUGAGGUGCGAAAGUGUGGGGAGCAAACAGGAUUAGAUACCCUGGUAGUCCACACCGUAAACGAUGAAUGCCAGUCGUCGGAUAGCUUGCUAUUCGGUGACACACCUAA
rnacentral:rRNA from 1 species